GGGUUGUGAGGUUAAGCGACUAAGCGUACACGGUGGAUGCCCUGGCAGUCAGAGGCGAUGAAGGACGUGCUAAUCUGCGAUAAGCGUCGGUAAGGUGAUAUGAACCGUUAUAACCGGCGAUUUCCGAAUGGGGAAACCCAGUGUGAUUCGUCACACUAUCAUUAACUGAAUCCAUAGGUUAAUGAGGCGAACCGGGGGAACUGAAACAUCUAAGUACCCCGAGGAAAAGAAAUCAACCGAGAUUCCCCCAGUAGCGGCGAGCGAACGGGGAGCAGCCCAGAGCCUGAAUCAGUGUGUGUGUUAGUGGAAGCGUCUGGAAAGGCGCGCGAUACAGGGUGACAGCCCCGUACACAAAAAUGCACAUACUGUGAGCUCGAUGAGUAGGGCGGGACACGUGGUAUCCUGUCUGAAUAUGGGGGGACCAUCCUCCAAGGCUAAAUACUCCUGACUGACCGAUAGUGAACCAGUACCGUGAGGGAAAGGCGAAAAGAACCCCGGCGAGGGGAGUGAAAAAGAACCUGAAACCGUGUACGUACAAGCAGUGGGAGCACAGAGCAAUCUGUGUGACUGCGUACCUUUUGUAUAAUGGGUCAGCGACUUAUAUUCUGUAGCAAGGUUAACCGAAUAGGGGAGCCGAAGGGAAACCGAGUCUUAACCGGGCGUUAAGUUGCAGGGUAUAGACCCGAAACCCGGUGAUCUAGCCAUGGGCAGGUUGAAGGUUGGGUAACACUAACUGGAGGACCGAACCGACUAAUGUUGAAAAAUUAGCGGAUGACUUGUGGCUGGGGGUGAAAGGCCAAUCAAACCGGGAGAUAGCUGGUUCUCCCCGAAAGCUAUUUAGGUAGCGCCUCGUGAAUUCAUCUCCGGGGGUAGAGCACUGUUUCGGCAAGGGGGUCAUCCCGACUUACCAACCCGAUGCAAACUGCGAAUACCGGAGAAUGUUAUCACGGGAGACACACGGCGGGUGCUAACGUCCGUCGUGAAGAGGGAAACAACCCAGACCGCCAGCUAAGGUCCCAAAGUCAUGGUUAAGUGGGAAACGAUGUGGGAAGGCCCAGACAGCCAGGAUGUUGGCUUAGAAGCAGCCAUCAUUUAAAGAAAGCGUAAUAGCUCACUGGUCGAGUCGGCCUGCGCGGAAGAUGUAACGGGGCUAAACCAUGCACCGAAGCUGCGGCAGCGACACUGUGUGUUGUUGGGUAGGGGAGCGUUCUGUAAGCCUGUGAAGGUGUACUGUGAGGUAUGCUGGAGGUAUCAGAAGUGCGAAUGCUGACAUAAGUAACGAUAAAGCGGGUGAAAAGCCCGCUCGCCGGAAGACCAAGGGUUCCUGUCCAACGUUAAUCGGGGCAGGGUGAGUCGACCCCUAAGGCGAGGCCGAAAGGCGUAGUCGAUGGGAAACAGGUUAAUAUUCCUGUACUUGGUGUUACUGCGAAGGGGGGACGGAGAAGGCUAUGUUGGCCGGGCGACGGUUGUCCCGGUUUAAGCGUGUAGGCUGGUUUUCCAGGCAAAUCCGGAAAAUCAAGGCUGAGGCGUGAUGACGAGGCACUACGGUGCUGAAGCAACAAAUGCCCUGCUUCCAGGAAAAGCCUCUAAGCAUCAGGUAACAUCAAAUCGUACCCCAAACCGACACAGGUGGUCAGGUAGAGAAUACCAAGGCGCUUGAGAGAACUCGGGUGAAGGAACUAGGCAAAAUGGUGCCGUAACUUCGGGAGAAGGCACGCUGAUAUGUAGGUGAAGUCCCUCGCGGAUGGAGCUGAAAUCAGUCGAAGAUACCAGCUGGCUGCAACUGUUUAUUAAAAACACAGCACUGUGCAAACACGAAAGUGGACGUAUACGGUGUGACGCCUGCCCGGUGCCGGAAGGUUAAUUGAUGGGGUCAGCGCAAGCGAAGCUCUUGAUCGAAGCCCCGGUAAACGGCGGCCGUAACUAUAACGGUCCUAAGGUAGCGAAAUUCCUUGUCGGGUAAGUUCCGACCUGCACGAAUGGCGUAAUGAUGGCCAGGCUGUCUCCACCCGAGACUCAGUGAAAUUGAACUCGCUGUGAAGAUGCAGUGUACCCGCGGCAAGACGGAAAGACCCCGUGAACCUUUACUAUAGCUUGACACUGAACAUUGAGCCUUGAUGUGUAGGAUAGGUGGGAGGCUUUGAAGUGUGGACGCCAGUCUGCAUGGAGCCGACCUUGAAAUACCACCCUUUAAUGUUUGAUGUUCUAACGUGGACCCGUGAUCCGGGUUGCGGACAGUGUCUGGUGGGUAGUUUGACUGGGGCGGUCUCCUCCUAAAGAGUAACGGAGGAGCACGAAGGUUGGCUAAUCCUGGUCGGACAUCAGGAGGUUAGUGCAAUGGCAUAAGCCAGCUUGACUGCGAGCGUGACGGCGCGAGCAGGUGCGAAAGCAGGUCAUAGUGAUCCGGUGGUUCUGAAUGGAAGGGCCAUCGCUCAACGGAUAAAAGGUACUCCGGGGAUAACAGGCUGAUACCGCCCAAGAGUUCAUAUCGACGGCGGUGUUUGGCACCUCGAUGUCGGCUCAUCACAUCCUGGGGCUGAAGUAGGUCCCAAGGGUAUGGCUGUUCGCCAUUUAAAGUGGUACGCGAGCUGGGUUUAGAACGUCGUGAGACAGUUCGGUCCCUAUCUGCCGUGGGCGCUGGAGAACUGAGGGGGGCUGCUCCUAGUACGAGAGGACCGGAGUGGACGCAUCACUGGUGUUCGGGUUGUCAUGCCAAUGGCACUGCCCGGUAGCUAAAUGCGGAAGAGAUAAGUGCUGAAAGCAUCUAAGCACGAAACUUGCCCCGAGAUGAGUUCUCCCUGACCCUUUAAGGGUCCUGAAGGAACGUUGAAGACGACGACGUUGAUAGGCCGGGUGUGUAAGCGCAGCGAUGCGUUGAGCUAACCGGUACUAAUGAACCGUGAGGCUUAACCUUACAACGCCGAAGGUGUUU
rnacentral:rRNA from 2 species